AGUCUCAGAAAGAUAACCACCGCAUGUUUUAUUUAGGAAUUCUUGAUUUUAUACAGACAUAAAAUCAUGUAUGUAUAGUAACAGGGAAGCAGAAACAAAAUUACCAAUCAGAAUGAAGAGAAUUAUGGAGAAAAAAUAUGGUCAAAGCACAUUAUAUCCUUAUGUGAACAUGCCUCAUACAAUGUAGUACAAUGCAAAAUCAGUAUACAAUGAAAAGCAGAGAAAUUGGAAAGACAGAGGCAUUCAAUUGAUUUUAUAGUAAAAUCUAAUAUCACAGCAGACAAAAGCACACCCAUCUUCACAAAACUGCAUCAUCAAGCCUUUGUUUUGAUCCAAAUAUGGCAACGAUUAAAAUAGAUUGUUAUUUCACAAAAAUAUUAUCCUUAUUCCAAAUUACUUGAUCUUGCAGCUUUGUCCAACCUCAGUUGGCCACAAGUUGGUUGUGUGCUUGCAUGGUGAUAACUCUAGGUUCAUUUUUCGGUUCCAUUAAGCUAUACCACAAAGUCAUGAAUACAAGCAUAAAUAGUCUUGAAAUUGAGUAAAGUAAUCCUCACUUUAUUCUUCCUUUUCUCAGAAUGUUCUCUAGUUCAUUUGCAUUUUUAUAUAAGUUUUGGAAUAAUGUGACCUACAUUUAUGGAUUCUCUUGUUAGAUAAAUCCCAAAACCUUUCAAAUAAGUUGUAUAUAAAUAAUUUCCAAAUGUGUACAUGUAUAAAAUAAGCUUUCUUGAGCUCCUUCUUAAACAUCCACCCACCUAUUUUAAACCUUCCCUUGGACAUUUGAUUUUUCAAUUAAUUUAGGGAUAUUCACUAUAUCUUCAUAUUUAUUCUGCAAUUUCCUACUGUCUUAGUAAAUAACACCAGUAAUUAGUCAAGUGUUUAAACAGAAAAACAUCAGUAAAGGGGAUAAAGCAUUUAUAAUACACACAUAGACACACAAUCUUUCAAUAUCAUAAAAAAUAUUUUAGCAUUUGGUCAUGAAGUAAAAUCCAGUAUUGUGGCCCACAAAAGCACACCCAUCAUACAAUCUCUUCAUAAACCUCCAGCUUCAGGCAUCUGUUUUUGUUAAAUGGAAACAGUAUAGGGGUCUUAACCAAGUUUGUUUUUUCUGCCAGUUAAAGAAUUAAAAGGCAAGGAUAAAGUCUGAAGCAUGAUAGGCAGCGGCAGUGAAAUCCCAAGCACUGUAGACAGAGCCAGCAGGCAUUUAUUGGGGUUAGGAAACACACACAUGCAGCAGACACAGAGAAAAGCCUCUCUGCAAAGUGUGGUGGAGGUGAGCACUUCGGGCAAAGGGAGAAAGAUGAUGAAAUAAAUUGUUAAAGGGCACACAGCUAUAGCUAAUAAGUCUACCCGUAAAGAAUCUAAUUGUUUUAAUUCCAGAAAUUAGCCACACUAUAACUUUCUGCUUUGAGGGCACUUAAAAUCGUCAACUGCCUUGUUUGGUUGUAUAUAUUCUCUCUCCUGAUUAAUAUGUGACUCCAUUAGGUACCGUGGUUUGUCUUUAACGCUGUGUCCUCUAAAAGCCUAGUUCUGGACUGUAGCUGACCAUGGCAGUGUGUGACUUCGAUGUAAGUAUGAUGAUGGUGUGUGACUUUAAGCAGGUGACUCUGGAGGUCAAGGCAAAAUUUACAGUAGCCUUUUGCUGCAUAGUAAGACAACCUUCUGAAACGCACACACACAAAACAAUACAGUUGUGUCAGACUACACUUAAUAAUUCAUAUGUACUCAAUUAAUACAAAUUAAUACAUUUAGAUAGACUAGUCUUCCUUCCUCCCCCAAACUAACCUAGUUAAAAAGAUCUUUGAGAACUGAAGUGAUUUGCU
rnacentral:lncRNA from 1 species